rnacentral:rRNA from 1 species
AUUGAACGCUGGCGGCAGGCCUAACACAUGCAAGUCGAGCGGUAGAGAGGAGCUUGCUCCUCUUGAGAGCGGCGGACGGGUGAGUAAUGCCUAGGAAUCUGCCUGGUAGUGGGGGAUAACGUUCGGAAACGGACGCUAAUACCGCAUACGUCCUACGGGAGAAAGCAGGGGACCUUCGGGCCUUGCGCUAUCAGAUGAGCCUAGGUCGGAUUAGCUAGUUGGUGAGGUAAUGGCUCACCAAGGCGACGAUCCGUAACUGGUCUGAGAGGAUGAUCAGUCACACUGGAACUGAGACACGGUCCAGACUCCUACGGGAGGCAGCAGUGGGGAAUAUUGGACAAUGGGCGAAGGCCUGAUCCAGCCAUGCCGCGUGUGUGAAGAAGGUCUUCGGAUUGUAAAGCACUUUAAGUUGGGAGGAAGGGCAGUUACCUAAUACGUGAUUGUUUUGACGUUACCGACAGAAUAAGCACCGGCUAACUCUGUGCCAGCAGCCGCGGUAAUACGUAGGUCCCGAGCGUUGUCCGGAUUUAUUGGGCGUAAAGCGAGCGCAGGUGGUUUAUUAAGUCUGGUGUAAAAGGCAGUGGCUCAACCAUUGUAUGCAUUGGAAACUGGUAGACUUGAGUGCAGGAGAGGAGAGUGGAAUUCCAUGUGUAGCGGUGAAAUGCGUAGAUAUAUGGAGGGACACCGGUGGCGAAAGCGGCUCUCUGGCCUGUAACUGACACUGAGGCUCGAAAGCGUGGGGAGCAAACAGG